rnacentral:pre_miRNA from 1 species
UAUGGUCUUUGAUUUUAGAUACUCCCUAUAUCCAGUAUGUGUGCCACUUAUUGAAAUACAAGAUGUAUGGGGUGUCUGCAAUCACAAACCACGUA